AACACAUGCAAGUCGAACGGACCUUAUCAAAGAGCUUGCUUUGAGAUAAGGUUAGUGGCGGACGGGUGAGUAACGCGUGGGUAACCUACCUAUAAGAGGGGGACAACAGAGGGAAACUUCUGCUAAUACCGCAUAAUACUAUCGAGACACAUGUAUUGAUAUUCAAAGAUUAAUCGCUUAUAGAUGGACCCGCGUCUGAUUAGCUAGUUGGUAGGGUAACGGCCUACCAAGGCGACGAUCAGUACCCGGCCUGAGAGGGUGAUCGGCCACACUGGGACUGAGACACGGCCCACACUCCUACGGGAGGCAGCAGUGGGGAAUCUUCCGCAAUGGGCGCAAGCCUGACGGAGCAACGCCGCGUGAGUGAUGAAGGUUUUCGGAUCGUAAAGCUCUGU
rnacentral:rRNA from 1 species